GAAUCGCCCCUCCCCCCAAGCCGCCGACGUUAUCCUGGUACCCCACUUGACGAUGGGGUGUUCCUCGACGACAUUGACCUGGAUGCUACGGACGGGCCGCCGCCGCGGGCUCACUUCACUAAGGACUACAUGCCCUGACGCUUACACCGCCGCCGUCGCCACCAAACUCGGCUUCGAUAGCUGAAGCUCCUGGUCCUCAAAGGUUACUGCUCUUUUUCAUAAGGACAUUGAUUCUUUCAAGAUAUAAUUGCUUGGAAACUGGGAACUUUGUAGAUCGUUUUGUUUCCUUCAAAAUGGAGGGGGUACCCCUGGCCUCUGCAUCGACUUUGUAGAUCGGGAUGUCUUUGGC